rnacentral:rRNA from 1 species
CACCGCGGUUAUACGAGAGACCCAAGCUGACAGUCACCGGCGUAAAGAGUGGUUAAUCUUACCAAAAACUAAAGCCGAACGUCUCCAAAGUUGUAUAACACAUUCGGAGAUAUGAAGCCCAACCACGAAAGUGGCUUUACACCUUUUGAAUCCACGAAAGCUGGGGAA